GAUGAACGCUGGCGGCGUGCUUAACACAUGCAAGUCGAACGGAAAGGCUCCUGCUUGCAGGGGUACUCGAGUGGCGAACGGGUGAGUAACACGUGGGUGAUCUGCCCUGCACUUCGGGAUAAGCCUGGGAAACUGGGUCUAAUACCGGAUAGGACGAUGGUUUGGAUGCCAUUGUGGAAAGUUUUUUCGGUGUGGGAUGAGCUCGCGGCCUAUCAGCUUGUUGGUGGGGUAAUGGCCUACCAAGGCGUCGACGGGUAGCCGGCCUGAGAGGGUGUACGGCCACAUUGGGACUGAGAUACGGCCCAGACUCCUACGGGGGGCAGCAGUGGGGAAUAUUGCACAAUGGGCGCAAGCCUGAUGCAGCGACGCCGCGUGGGGGAUGACGGCCUUCGGGUUGUAAACUCCUUUCGCUAGGGACGAAGCGCAAGUGACGGUACCUGGAGAAGAAGCACCGGCUAACUACGUG
rnacentral:rRNA from 1 species